GACGAACGCUGGCGGCGUGCUUAACACAUGCAAGUCGAACGGAAAGGCCCUGCUUUUGUGGGGUGCUCGAGUGGCGAACGGGUGAGUAACACGUGAGUAACCUGCCCUUGACUUUGGGAUAACUUCAGGAAACUGGGGCUAAUACCGGAUAGGAGCUCCUGCUGCAUGGUGGGGGUUGGAAAGUUUCGGCGGUUGGGGAUGGACUCGCGGCUAUCAGCUUGUUGGUGGGGUAGUGGCUUACCAAGGCUUUGACGGGUAGCCGGCCUGAGAGGGUGACCGGCAGCGCUGGGAGUGGGUAGAGGUCCGGAGGACGGGGGGAGGCGGGAGGGGGAAAGGAGGGACGGGGGGCGGAGGCGUGACGCGGAAGCGGGGCGGGGGGGAGGAGGGCCUUCGGGUUGUAAACGGGGGUCGCCGGGGAGGAUGGGUGGGUGGGGGUAGUGGGAAGAGAAGCACCGGCUAACGACGUGCCAGCAGCGGCGGUAAUGAUGGGAGGAGCAAACUUCCGAAC
rnacentral:rRNA from 1 species